UUGGAGGGCAAGUCUGGUGCCAGCAGCCGCGGUAAUUCCAGCUCCAAUAGCGUAUAUUAAAGUUGUUGCAGUUAAAAAGCUCGUAGUUGAAUUUCGGGAUCAGAGUGUCGGUCGUGCCUCGGUACGCACUGGUAUUAUUGGUUCCUACCUUCUGAAGAACCGCGAUGUCAUUAAUUUGGUGUCGUGGGGAAUCAGGACUGUUACUUUGAAAAAAUUAGAGUGUUUAAAGCAGGCUUACGCUUGAAUACAUUAGCAUGGAAUAAUGAAAUAGGACGUUUGAUUCUAUUUUGUUGGUUUCUAGGAUUGACGUAAUGAUUAAUAGGGUUAGUUGGGGGCAUUAGUAUUCAAUUGUCAGAGGUGAAAUUCUUGGAUUUAUUGAAGACUAACUACUGCGAAAGCAUUUGCCAAGGAUGUUUUCAUUAAUCAAGAACGAAAGUUAGGGGAUCGAAGACGAUCAGAUACCGUCGUAGUCUUAACCAUAAACUAUGCCGACUAGGGAUCGGAUGAUGUUAAUUUUUUAAUGACUCAUUCGGCGCCUUACGGGAAAC
rnacentral:rRNA from 1 species